rnacentral:rRNA from 1 species
AUUGAACGCUGGCGGCAGGCUUAACACAUGCAAGUCGAGCGGGGAAGGGUAGCUUGCUACCUGACCUAGCGGCGGACGGGUGAGUAAUGCUUAGGAAUCUGCCUAUUAGUGGGGGACAACAUUCCGAAAGGAAUGCUAAUACCGCAUACGCCCUACGGGGGAAAGCAGGGGAUCUUCGGACCUUGCGCUAAUAGAUGAGCCUAAGUCAGAUUAGCUAGUUGGUGGGGUAAAGGCCUACCAAGGCGACGAUCUGUAGCGGGUCUGAGAGGAUGAUCCGCCACACUGGGACUGAGACACGGCCCAGACUCCUACGGGAGGCAGCAGUGGGGAAUAUUGGACAAUGGGCGAAAGCCUGAUCUAGCCAUGCCGCGUGUGUGAAGAAGGCCUUUUGGUUGUAAAGCACUUUAAGCGAGGAGGAGGCUACCUGGAUUAAUACUCUAGGAUAGUGGACGUUACUCGCAGAAUAAGCACCGGCUAACUCUGUGCCAGCCGCCGCGGUAAAAC